AUUGAACGCUGGCGGCAGGCCUAACACAUGCAAGUCGAGCGAGCGGCGGACGGGUGAGUAAUGUAUGGGAAACUGCCUGAUGGAGGGGGAUAACUACUGGAAACGGUAACUAAUACCGCAUACCAUCAGAUGUGCCCAGAUGGGAUUAGCUAGUUGGGGGGGUAAUGGCUCACCUAGGGGACGAUCCCUAGCUGUUCUGCGAGGAUGACCAGCCAAACUGGAACUGAUACACGGUCCAGACUCCUACGGGAGGCAGCAGUGGGGAAUAUUGGACAAUGGGCGCAAGCCUGAUGCAGCCAUGCCGCGUGUGUGAAGAAGGCCUUCGGGUUGUAAAGCACUUUCAGCGGGGAGGCGUUACCCGCAGAAGAAGCAACGGCUAACUCCGUGCCAGCAGCCGCGGUAAUUC
rnacentral:rRNA from 1 species